AGCAUGUGGUUUAAUUCGAAGCAACGCGAAGAACCUUUACCAGGUCUUAGACAUCCGAUGCUAUUUCUAGAGAUAGAAAGUUACUUCGGUACAUCGGUGACAGGUGGUGCAUGGUUGUCGUCAGCUCGUGUCGUGAGAUGUUGGGUUAAGUCCCGCAACGAGCGCAACCCCUAUUGUUAGUUGCCAUCAUUCAGUUGGGCACUCUAGCGAGACUGCCGGUAAUAAACCGGAGGAAGGUGGGGAUGACGUCAAAUCAUCAUGCCCCUUAUGACCUGGGCUACACACGUGCUACAAUGAUUGGUACAACGAGUUGCGAGUCGGUGACGGCGAGCUAAUCUCUUAAAGCCAAUCUCAGUUCGGAUUGUAGGCUGCAACUCGCCUACAUGAAGUCGGAAUCGCUAGUAAUCGCGGAUCAGCACGCCGCGGUGAAUACGUUCCCGGGCCUU
rnacentral:rRNA from 1 species